AUUCGAGAUCUGGUUUAUUGCGGCUUAUUCGGAAUUAGUCGGUAGGCGUUCGUCGAUUAGAUUACAGCCAUAGAGGGGCCUGGAGCAACGGAGAAGGGAAAUAAUCGCGGUUGAAUGAGUCAAGUACUAUACUGGCAACCGAGAGAACUUCGUUGAGGAGAGAGAGCAGCCUGGAAACCGAUGGUGCUGGAACCAGAUCGGUGCCUGGUGGCUCAGCGCGAUCUCCCAAAGCAGCUCGAGUUUCUCUCUGAAGUCGAGUAACGAAACUACGUUCGCUUUGCUCCAAGAGAUCGUUGAGGGAGCUUCCACCGCAAGGAUAUGUUCAACCCUGGAUUUCAACGGGUGGCACAACCCCUCUGUUAUAUUACCGAGAGCUGUUUUAAUCUGAUCCGAUACAUCUGAAAGAUUUGAAUAUGGUUGGAUUACCAUUAGCAGC